AGCAUAUCAAUAAGCGGAGGAAAAGAAACUAACAAGGAUUCCCUUAGUAACUGCGAGUGAAGAGGGAAAAGCUCAAAUUUAAAAUCUGGCAGUGUCUCACUGUCCGAGUUGUAACCUAGAGAAGUGUAACCUGCGCUGGACCGUGUAUAAGUCUCCUGGAAUGGAGCGUCACAGAGGGUGAGAAUCCCGUCUUUGACAUGGACCACCAGUGCAUUGUGGUUGUGCUCUCAACGAGUCGAGUUGUUUGGGAAUGCAGCUCUAAAUGGGUGGUAAAUUCCAUCUAAAGCUAAAUAUUGGCGAGAGACCGAUAGCGAACAAGUACCGUGAGGGAAAGAUGAAAAGAACUUUGGAAAGAGAGUUAAACAGUAUGUGAAAUUGUUGAAAGGGAAACGUUUGAAGUCAGUCGCGUUGGUUGGGGAUCAGCCUGACAUUGUUGGGUUUACUUCCUGGUCGACGGGCCAACAUCAGUUUUGACUGCCAGAAAAAGGCCAAAGGAAUGUGGCACCUUUGGGUGUGUUAUAGCCCUUGGUCGUAUAUGGUGGUUGGGACUGAGGAAAGCAGCGUGCCGAAAGGCCGGGUUUCGACCACGUUCACGCUGAGGAUGUUGGCAUAAUGGCUUUAAGCGACCCGUCUUGAAACACGGACCAAGGAGUCUAACAUGCAUGCGAGUGUUUGGGUGGAAAACCCUUACGCGUAAUGAAAGUGAAAGUUGAGAUCCCUGUCGCGGGGAGCAUCGACGCCCGGACCAGAACUUUUGGGACGGAUCUGCGGUAGAGCACGUAUGUUGGGACCCGAAAGAUGGUGAACUAUGCCUGAAUAGGGUGAAGCCAGAGGAAACUCUGGUGGAGGCUCGUAGCGAUUCUGACGUGCAAAUCGAUCGUCAAAUUUGGGUAUAGGGGCGAAAGACUAAUCGAACCAUCUAGUAGCUGGUUCCUGCC
rnacentral:rRNA from 1 species